UUCAUGGAGAGUUUGAUCCUGGCUCAGGACGAACGCUGGCGGCGUGCCUAAUACAUGCAAGUCGAGCGGACCGACGGGAGCUUGCUCCCUUAGGUCAGCGGCGGACGGGUGAGUAACACGUGGGUAACCUGCCUGUAAGACUGGGAUAACUCCGGGAAACCGGGGCUAAUACCGGAUGCUUGAUUGAACCGCAUGGUUCAAUCAUAAAAGGUGGCUUUUAGCUACCACUUACAGAUGGACCCGCGGCGCAUUAGCUAGUUGGUGAGGUAACGGCUCACCAAGGCGA
rnacentral:rRNA from 1 species